GAUGAAGAACGUAGCGAAAUGCGAUAAGUAAUGUGAAUUGCAGAAUUCAGUGAAUCAUCGAAUCUUUGAACGCACAUUGCGCCCAUUAGCAUUCUAGUGGGCAUGCCUGUUCGAGCGUCAUUUCAACCCAUAAGCCCUGUUGCUUAGCGUUGGGAGCCUACAGUACUGUAGCUCCCCAAAGUUAGUGGCGGAGUCGGUUUCACACUCUAGACGUAGUAAUUUUUUCUCGUCUGUAGUUGAGCCGGUCCCCUGCCGUAAAACACCCAAUUUAUCAAGGUUGACCUCGGAUCAGGUAGGAAUACCCGCUGAACUUAAGCAUAUCAAUAAGCGGAGGA
rnacentral:misc_RNA from 1 species